CUCUUUUUAUUUCCCGUCAUUAUCGCCUGGACAUGCCUCUUUUUUCCUUUUCCAUGAAUAUCUUUUAAAGAUCCUGACAUCGUGGGCUUAGAGUCUAGAGUUACUUUACCUUGUGCUAAGACUUCAGAUUUUGAGUAUAUAUCAGCGUUAACUCCUCUUCACUCUUAGGCCCUUUGUCGGAGAAAGGGAGUCUUUCCUUCCAGCCCUCUGUCUAUUUCCUUCUUCCAGCGAGAUUCUCCUGUUUUUUCUGCAAAGGAUCUUUUUGACGCC
rnacentral:lncRNA from 1 species